rnacentral:rRNA from 1 species
UAUGGUAUGUGCCAGCAGCCGCGGUAAUACGUAUGGAGCAAGCGUUAUCCGGAUUUACUGGGUGUAAAGGGUGCGUAGGUGGCAGUGCAAGUCAGAUGUGAAAGGCCGGGGCUCAACCCCGGAGCUGCAUUUGAAACUGCUCGGCUAGAGUACAGGAGAGGCAGGCGGAAUUCCUAGUGUAGCGGUGAAAUGCGUAGAUAUUAGGAGGAACACCAGUGGCGAAGGCGGCCUGCUGGACUGUUACUGACACUGAGGCACGAAAGCGUGGGGAGCAAACAGG